GUCUCGGUGGUCCAGUGGUCAGGGCAGCUCAUCGUUAUAGCAUCGACAUCCGUAGGUUCUUUGGUUGGCAGGGUGGUCUACCGCAAAACAACUCUGAGCAGGUCCCGGGUUCGAAUCCCGGCCGAGACA